rnacentral:rRNA from 1 species
CAGUGGGAGCACCUUCGGGUGUGACUGCGUACCUUUUGUAUAAUGGGUCAGCGACUUAUAUUCUGUAGCAAGGUUAACCGUAUAGGGGAGCCGCAGGGAAACCGAGUCUUAACUGGGCGUUAAGUUGCAGGGUAUAGACCCGAAACCCGGUGAUCUAGCCAUGGGCAGGUUGAAGGUUGGGUAACACUAACUGGAGGACCGAACCGACUAAUGUUGAAAAAUUAGCGGAUGACUUGUGGCUGGGGGUGAAAGGCCAAUCAAACCGGGAGAUAGCUGGUUCUCCCCGAAAGCU